rnacentral:tRNA from 1 species
UUAACUGAAACCAAAAUAGAGGUAUAUUACUGUUAAUAAUAUAAUUGAAUAAUUAUAAUUCCAGUUAAG